CCGCGUGAAUGAUGAAGGCCUUCGGGUUGUAAAAUUCUGUUAUAAGGGAAGAACGACUUUAGUAGGAAAUGGCUAGAGUGUGACGGUACCUUAUGAGAAAGCCACGGCUAACUACGUGCCAGCAGCCGCGGUAAUACGUAGGUGGCGAGCGUUAUCCGGAAUUAUUGGGCGUAAAGAGCGCGCAGGUGGUUGAUUAAGUCUGAUGUGAAAGCCCACGGCUUAACCGUGGAGGGUCAUUGGAAACUGGUCGACUUGAGUGCAGAAGAGGGAAGUGGAAUUCCAUGUGUAGCGGUGAAAUGCGUAGAGAUAUGGAGGAACACCAGUGGCGAAGGCGGCUUCCUGGUCUGUAACUGACACUGAGGCGCGAAAGCGUGGGGAGCAAACAGGAUUAGAUACCCUGGUAGUCCACGCCGUAAACGAUGAGUGCUAAGUGUUGGGGGUCGAACCUCAGUGCUGAAGUUAACGCAUUAAGCACUCCGCCUGGGGAGUACGGUCGCAAGACUG
rnacentral:rRNA from 1 species